rnacentral:rRNA from 1 species
AGUGAACGCUGGCGGUAGGCCUAACACAUGCAAGUAGAACGGCAGCACAGUAAGAGCUUGCUCUUACGGGUGGCGAGUGGCGGACGGGUGAGGAAUACAUCGGAAUCUACUUUUUCGUGGGGGAUAACGUAGGGAAACUUACGCUAAUACCGCAUACGACCUACGGGUGAAAGCAGGGGAUCUUCGGACCUUGCGCGAUUGAAUGAGCCGAUGUCGGAUUAGCUAGUUGGCGGGGUAAAGGCCCACCAAGGCGACGAUCCGUAGCUGGUCUGAGAGGAUGAUCAGCCACACUGGAACUGAGACACGGUCCAGACUCCUACGGGAGGCAGCAGUGGGGAAUAUUGGACAAUGGGCGCAAGCCUGAUCCAGCCAUACCGCGUGGGUGAAGAAGGACUUCGGGUUGUAAAGCCCUUUUGUUGGGAAAGAAAAGCAGCAGGUUAAUACCCCGCUGUUCUGACGGUACCCAAAGAAUAAGCACCGGCUAACUUCGUG